CCUACGGGAGGCAGCAGUAGGGAAUCUUCCACAAUGGGCGACAGCCUGAUGGAGCAACGCCGCGUGGGUGAAGAAGGUCUUCGGAUCGUAAAACCCUGUUGUUAGAGAAGAAAGUGCGUGCGAGUAACUGUUCACGUUUCGACGGUAUCUAACCAGAAAGCCACGGCUAACUACGUGCCACCAGCCGCGGUAAUACGUAGGUGGCAAGCGUUAUCCGGAGUGAUUGGGCGUAAAGGGAACGCAGGCGGUCUUUUAAGUCUGAUGUGAAAGCCUUCGGCUUAACCGGAGUAGGGCAUUGGAAACUGGGAGACUUGAGUGCAGAAGAGGAGAGUGGAACUCCAUGUGUAGCGGUGAAAUGCGUAGAUAUAUGGAAGAACACCAGUGGCGAAGGCGGCUCUCUGGUCUGUAACUGACGCUGAGGUUCGAAAGCGUGGGUAGCAAACAGGAUUAGAUACCCUGGUAGUC
rnacentral:rRNA from 1 species